rnacentral:rRNA from 1 species
UUUGGAGAGUUUGAUCCUGGCUCAGGACGAACGCUGGCGGCGUGCCUAAUACAUGCAAGUCGAGCGAAGUUUUUCUGGUGCUUGCACUAGAAAAACUUAGCGGCGAACGGGUGAGUAACACGUA